rnacentral:tRNA from 1 species
CGGGUCGUGGCUCAGAUUGGUAGAGCGCUGCGUUCGGGACGCCUAGGUCGCUGUGUUCGAAUCCAGUCGGCUCGA